AGCGGCAGACGCGGCGGAGGAGCGGCGCUGCGUGCGGACGCGUCCCGCUGGUGCUCACAUGAAAAAAUGGGCUUGGCAUUUGCGCCGCAUCGUUCCCAUUCCUCACAUCUCCUCCAUCAUUGUCAUCAUCAUCAUCAUCUGCUCCCAGAAUAAUGUCAGAAUCAUGAAACCCCCGCGGAGAGCAACACAACAGCUCUCUCCCUCUCUUUAUGUUUUUCAUGGUGGAGAAUAAAGGAGCAUUGACAGAAACACUGGAGGCCUCAGAAAGAUCCAGAAGAACUGGACACAACGACACACACACACACACACACACACAGACGACACAAAGAAACGAUCACAUCGCGCUGCUGCUGCUGCUGUUGUUGUUGUUGUUGUUGUUCCGGCCGAGAUCCUCUAAUAAUGAGAUUAUAAAUAUUCCGAAGGGAUUAGUCUCGUUACGACAGCAUCCGAGCGGCUGGAGGAGGAGGGGAGAACAACCGGAGCUGCUCCUGGAGGAGGAGGAUGGAGACAUUUUUCAUCCUUUUUUUUUUUCUUUUUUUUUUGCAGAGACACUGCGAUGUUGGCGAGGAGGCGACGACGACAUGAUGAAGAUGAAGAUGGAGCCACAGUGGAUGAAAAAAAAAACACCCUGCUUCAGGAGAAGCUGCAGCGCGGAUCAAUCCGUGGAUAUUCCAUCUCCAUGAAGCCGCGCACCGAGGCCCGACCUCUCCCACCUCGACACAUUCACAUCCACACCAGACCGAAUACCGAUGGACCGCCGAGGACGCGCUGUGCGGCCGCUCGGGCUCCGGCUCGUGUCGGCGUCUCUUGCACCGAGCGGUCGGAUGUGGACGGAAUAAAGAAACGAAAAGAAAAGGGAGGACAUGUCGAGUCUUUUCUUACCUGAGUGCAGACGACGGCUCCUGCAGUUCACAGUCUGACCACACGAGGGUGAAGGAAGAAGGAUCCACAAUGAACUCCCUCGUCCCUGGUCCCUGGUCCCUGGUGCCAGGUCCCUGGUCCCUCGUCCCUGUUCCCAGGUCCCUGGGCCCUGGUCCCUCAUCCCUGGGCCCUGGUCCCUGGUGCCAGGUCCCUGGUCCCUCGUCCCUGUUCCCAGGUCCCUGGGCCCUGGUCCCUCAUCCCUGGGCCCUGGUCCUUCCACAGAACGAAUCCAAAUCUUCUUCUUCUGCAGCAGCAGCUGGUGAACUGGGCUCGUCUCCAAAAGCUCAAGACUAGAAGAGAGAGAGCGACACAAAGAGUCUCGUCUUGCCAACACAUCAGAACAAAUCUGACUUUUCAGUAAUUCCACUGCUGUUAUGUUUUUUUCCGCAGCUGAAUAGUUUGUCGACUCGGUGUCAGAGUUGGCACCCGGUCAGUGUGUGUGUGUGUGUGUGUGUGUGUGUGUGUGUGUGAUGGUGGGAGGCCACGGAGACACACAAGGGUUCACUGUUCGGUUCCUCCAGGCCUCAGAGACUGGACCACACUGAUCUGUGACUGUCGCCCCUCGCACAUUUCUGCAUGAAAUAAUAAAGUUACCACUUUUAAUAA